AAGUGGCUGAGGCGGUGAAGCAAUGGAAAGUCUUAAAACUUAAGAAAACAACAGAGUCGGCGACAGAAGCUAUAAAGAGAGCUUCUUGGUUUCAAUUGAAGGUUGACGCUGCACAGAGAGGGAUAACCCACAACAGAGCAGGAACAUUGAAGUAUUAGUUAGGGUUAUUCUCUACUCUUAUUCUCAUGAAUCUUAUUUUUACGUUCUUGACUAUGUAUAAUUAAAUCUUUUUUAGGGUUUAUGGUGAAUCUUGCAAUUAAAAUUCCUUUNNNNNNNNNNNNNNNNNNNNNNNNNUUAUCACAUGAUUAGGAAUGAUCAACCUAUGAAUGUUUAUAAUCAAUUGAUUGAUCAACGACCGUACUGCAGUUAAUCGGUGGACCUAUAGGAUAAAUGAGACUUAGAUUAUUGCAUGACCAAACCUUAAACUUAGUCUUUCAAUCAUUUAACCUUUUUGUGCUUUAUGCUUUUCUUGAAUUUCAACUCUUUGCAUGACCAAACAAGGGGUUAAUUUAGGAAAAAGAAUAUUAAUCACGAAUGACCAAACAGGUUAAUAGUUUUAGUAAAGGGAUUGGUAAUUGAGUUAAAAUAAAGGAAUUCAAGUGGAACUAGACAUAGGGAAUCAAUGAUUGCGAGUGAAACCAUGACCCUAUGCCUCUCUAUUUUGAAUCACAACUUUUACUUUUGUUUGUGUUCGUUCGUAUUUUCUAUUUAGUUAUUUAGUUAUCAUAAACAAAUGAAAUCAUCGAUUAGUCUAAAUAAUAAAUAAUCUUAAAUAGUUUGGUAAUUGUUAAUUAAUCCCUGUGGAUACGAUAAUCUUUUAUACUACUUCUGCGCUAGAGUACACUUGCUCUAAGUGUGUUUUUAACGCAACAG
rnacentral:lncRNA from 1 species